UCACGAUAUCCAAUUUAUACUAAAUUCAUGAUACAGUGGUACCAAAACUAAAUCACAUCCCAUCCUUCAUUUUACAGUCUUUCCCAUUAGUUAAAACCACCAAGCAUGUAUCCAAUUCCAACAAGAAACGAAAGCCUAUAUUCCUAAAAGAAAACUUCAGAUGCCACAGUAAACCCUUAAACCCUAAACCCUAACAAAAUCAAAAUCUUUACAAUUGAUCUUAAUUCUGAAAACACCUUCCAAAUAAAUGAAUUUCUAAAUACAAAACUCGAGCUUCUGAACGAGUGUUACCAUACCUCAUUUGUAGCAGUGUUGACCGGGUGAACACUGGAAGGAGGGCUGGCGAAGCAAACGAACAAGAGAGUCGAAGAAGAAGCCAUUGGAGAAGCGCUAGGGAUUUGGGCGCCAAUUUCUGAACGAGACUCCGUUUUGUAGCCUUUAUUAAUGAAAUCGGAACAGAUUUAUCCGGUUCCUAUUUUCUGUAAGGGGGUGGAAAUAUCCUUUUAUCUCUCUCGUCUUUGAAAUCUUCAUUUUUACAACACCAGACUAGAGGAACUCAAAGUGGGAAACCUAAUUUUGGCGGUAAGAUCAUACACAUGGAUAAUCGAGACUCUGAUCAAAGUAUUUCAGAAAAUGAAGAAGAUAUUGAUGCGAAUUGGUUGACAAAUCCUACAGCUAGAGACAAUAAGGAUUGGCUUAAAAUGUUUACUUUUUGGAAUGAAGAUAGCAAGUUUAGACAGUCUUUAGGAAAUGAAGUCGCAAACGAUUCUGAUGAAGAAGCAAUCUCAGAUGCUGAUGAGAACAAUGUCACAAUGGGUUCUUCGUGUAUGUCGAAGUCAGUGAAGGUUCAAAGGGGCUCUUUCAAGAGCUAUAAGAGAGAAAAUGAUCGAAAUGAAGCAUCUGCAUGGUCUGCAGUUAAUAAAGAGGCUGAAGAAUUAAUAGUUUUGCAUGACAGUACCAGUCGCUCAUCAUCUCGUACUGCCACUCUAGAAGCCAAGAAAACUGCGAAAGGUAAUAGAGGCAAAGCCAAACCCAAGUUUUCAAUUCAUUCUCUUUCGCACAAGGGGGAAUCCUCCUUGCCUUCUAUUGUGAAGGAUGAAAAUGAAACGUUACGUAAGGUUUGUCAAAUUCAGGAAGGAUUAGAUGAUCUUGAAGACAUUGUUAUGGAGCAUUCAAUGACUGAGCUUGUACAAGGUAUCGAGGAAGAAAGUGAUAAACAGUCUGAGGUUCAAGUUCUUGCUAAUUUAUCCGCUCUUAAACAUAGAGACGCAGAGCAUUCAGUUUCCGAGCUUUUAGAUGGCCUUCAAGCAAAGUGUGAAUCGGUGGAAAGGACUACUAAGCUGAAUAUUAGAACAAAGAGUAAAAGGCACCAAAUUACUACUAGGAAGAGAAAUAUGUAUCAAUUGGGUGAUAGAAUUCUUGACAAUGAGGAUCCUUCCGAGCCCGUGGAUGGCGAUACAUCUAGCGAGGAUGAGGCAGCCAAACUUCUAAUGCAUGGUCAGAAUCAGAUGAGAGUUGCAACACUACAAAGCAAAGGGCAAACAAUGUCAGAUCGAUUCCAGGAAGCUCUUAAUGACACUACUGGGGAUGACGAUGGGACGCGGUUUUCAUCCUUCAAUCAUACAAGGGGAUACUAUAGUAGGUUGCAGCAAGUCAUGCAAACACAGAAGGAAAGGCAUGCGGAGUUCUUGAAACAGUUACUAGAACUGACUGGACAAGGUAAAGGUAUUUGGGUAAAAAUAAUGUCAAGAUGUUUGGAAGCAAAGCUGACGGUUUGUGAAUGCUCCUGUCAGGAAAAGAGUGAGAAUUUUCAUUGUGCGAGCCCAAAUAGUUCCAUUAAUAUUGGAUCAAUAACAACAAUUAUUUUCAACCCAAGGAUGUGCAGCGAUGUUGAGAUAGAAGUGGGAAACGUAAUUUGCAUUCACCCUCCAUGGAAUGAGGUACAGGUCAUGGGGAAGGAUAAGAGCAUUAUUCUGUGUACAUAUUUCUCUCUGAUCUCAACAUGACUGGACUUUAUAACAGGUAAGCUCAAGAUUCCUGCUCGUUUACAAAUGGAAAGUUUGAAUCCUAUUUUUUAAUUAGAACAGCGUGCUUUUACCAAAUGAAAGCAGUAUGUGUUAGCACCAUCUAGUUCAAAACUUCAAAUUACUGUCGGUAAUAUGGAACCUGGAGGGUACAUGUAAUAAUUGUUUUGAUUUCUAUAAAGCUCAUUGUUUGGCUGAGAUACAAAGAAUUUAAAGAUGCAGCAUUAUCAACCCUGCAGUAGGUGGUUCUUCCAGUGGAAUGCUGUAUCUAGUUUUUUGUUGUUGUCGUUGUUUGUGACACGAUCAGCAGACUGUAUCGAGUUUACUUUCUACAGAUUCAUCUUCCUAAGUUUUUCAUUAGUUACCAUCUCUAGAAAAUGAAGAACUUCUUUAUCGGUGCAAUUGGUAUCUGGUUUUUAUGCUGUGGAACGAGUGGAAUGCGUUUUUAAUUGUGGUUAUGCUGGACUGCUGAAAUAGUUUCUGUAAGGACCCGGAUCGUCGUGGUCUGCUCGGUGGUACUAGCUGGACUAGUAGAUCUAAUCGAGUUACGAUCGCGUCUGAUA